AGGUAGCGAAAUUCCUUGUCGGGUAAGUUCCGACCCGCAUGAAAGGCGUAAUGAUUUGGGCACUGUCUCAACGAGGGGCCCGGUGAAAUUGAAAUACCUGUGAAGAUGCAGGUUACCCGCGACUGGACAGAAAGACCCCAUGGAGCUUCACUGCAGCUUGAGAUUGAAUCCCGGUGACAUAUGCACAGGAUAGGUGGGAGGCUAAGAAGUAAUGCCUUUGGGUGUUACAGAGCCGAUGUUGGGAUACCACCCUUAUGUUGCUGAGAUUCUAACACGGAGACUAACAACCUCGUGGACCAUCUCAGGCAGGCGGUUUGACUGGGGCGGUCGCCUCCUAAAAUGUAACGGAGGCGCCCAAAGGUUCCCUCAGGCCGGACAGAAACCGGCCGAAGAGUGCAAAGGCAGAAGGGAGCUUGACUGCGAGACAGACAAGUCGAGCAGAGACGAAAGUCGGGCUUAGUGAUCCGGUGGUACUGAGUGGAAAGGCCAUCGCUCAACGGAUAAAAGCUACCCUGGGGAUAACAGGCUAAUCUCUCCCAAGAGUUCAUAUCGACGGGGAGGUUUGGCACCUCGAUGUCGGCUCAUCACAUCCUGGAGCUGGAGCAGGUUCCAAGGGUUGGGCUGUUCGCCCAUUAAAGUGGUACGCGAGCUGGGUUCAAAACGUCGUGAGACAGUUUGGUUCAUAUCCAUCGCGGGCGCAAGAAGUUUGAGGGAGGCUGCUCCUAGUACGAGAGGACCGGAGUGGACGGAUCAACGGUGUACCAGUUGUCACGCCAGUGGCACGGCUGGAAAGCCGCAUCCGGAAAGGAUAAACGCUGAAAGCAUCUAAGCGUGAAGCCCGUCCCGAGAUGAGACUUCUCAUCAGCAAUGAGUAAGACCCCUUAAAGACGAUGAGGUUGAUAGGCUGUGAGUGGAAGUGGCGCAAGUCAUGGAGCGACGCAGUACUAAUAGGUCGAGGUCUUAGCUUA
rnacentral:rRNA from 1 species